rnacentral:rRNA from 1 species
UACAGAGGGUGCAAGCGUUAAUCGGAGUUACUGGGCGUAAAGGGCGCGUAGGCGGUUAUUUAAGUGAGAUGUGAAAUCCCUGGGCUUAACCUAGGAACUGCAUCUUAAACUGAGUAGCUAGAGUACUGUAGAGGGUAGUGGAAUUUCCGGUGUAGCGGUGAAAUGCGUAGAGAUCGAAAGGAACACCAGUGGCGAAGGCGGCUACCUGGACAGAUACUGACGCUGAGGAGCGAAAGCGUGGGGAGCGAACAGG